GAUGAACGCUAGCGGCAGGCUUAACACAUGCAAGUCGAGGGGUAGAGGUUGCUUGCAACCUUGAGACCGGCGCACGGGUGCGUAACGCGUAUGCAACCUACCUUUUACAGAAGGAUAGCCCAGAGAAACUUGGAUUAAUACCUCAUAGUAUAUAACCUUCGCAUGUUGGUUAUAUUAAAGUUCCAACGGUAAAAGAUGGGCAUGCGUCCUAUUAGCUAGAUGGUAAGGUAACGGCUUACCAUGGCAACGAUAGGUAGGGGUCCUGAGAGGGAGAUCCCCCACACUGGUACUGAGACACGGACCAGGCUCCUACGGGAGGCAGCAGUGAGGAAUAUUGGACGAUGGGCGCAAGCCUGAUCCAGCCAUGCCGCGUGCAGGAAGAAGCAUCUAUGGUGUGUAAACUGCUUUUGUACAGGAAGAAACACCCCGACGUGUCGGGGCUUGACGGUACUGUAAGAAUAAGGAUCGGCUAACUCCGUGCCAGCCGCCGCGGUAA
rnacentral:rRNA from 1 species